UCUUUGUGGGAACUGCUGUUGUCCGCCAGAAUGGGUCUAAAUAUAGUCAAAGUAGGUGAACUCACUAUGCUUCCUGCAUUUAUCCUUUUAGCUGAAAUUUCCCUGACUUUUCUUUUCCUUUUCAUUUUAUUAGGUUAAUAAAACUUGGUUUUUGAGCAUUUCGCCACCCCAGGAGGGCCGUGGGCCCCCCGUCCAAUUCAUCAAGUGCCUAAUGAGCGGCCCCGGAGGUCCCGGGCCAUCCAUUCCAGAAGCUCUCUCUGCCUUGUAAAGGCUCUCUUGCCUUCGCCAGCUUGUCAGGAUGCUGCCAGCUCUGGGCAUGGGGCUGUGUCUGCCCCGCGUGGUGGAGAGCUGGAAUCUGAGCACUCGAGCUUGGGGACAGCUGCCCACCUUGAGCCCACAAGAGGAAGGAGCACGGGGAGGAGGUUAUGCUUGUGGGGGGUGCAGAACAAGGGAAAACAGAGAAGCCGGCUUGAACCAUCUCUUGCGAUGUGCCCUCUGCAUUAUCACCCACUGGCCCCGAUGCCAGCUGACAGACCUCAUCCAAACACUUGGCUGGGAUUUGGGGACUUCUUUUAACGCCUGCUAGUGAGUUUGCUGGCUUCCUGGAUGCUCAUUUCUGGUUCUGCACAAAACAGCCACAUUUCCUUUUGGAACCGGGACCAGGAGACAGACAGCAGCAGACAUUGGAAAUUGUUGUGAAGAUUUGAGACUGUGAACGCAAAGGCGGGGCCUAUAGAUCGUGCUGGAUAAAGGUCUCUGGGCCAGUCCCUGGAGCCCCGAAAUAAAUGGGCAGAGGGGGCUGCCUGGCAUCGCGUCUUGGCCACCUACCAGCCGGACACCCCAGCACUCUCACGGCCCUGCUGCCAGCCUGAGACGUGGCUGUGCCGGCCUGAGGAAGGACGAAGAACGCGGAGUCCGCUCGCCCGGUCAGCGCCGUGGAGCCCCUGCACACGUAAGUCAGCCUAGCCAGUGUCAGCGGGGACGCCCGGCUGACUGCCCAGGCGCAGGGCCGGUAAAUGCUGCGCUCGCGUGUCGCGAGGCUUCGUUGUGCAGUUUGCCGUGGGGAAAGCUGUUACCCAGUUGCCAGUGUGACGAGCCGCUCGCGUGGUCUAAGGUGGCCCUUGAGAACACGGUCGUGCAGCCAGGCCGACGGAGACUGGGAUUCCGGCUCAGCCAUUUCCGAAUGGCCGUCCUGGGGGAAGUCGGUUUGUUUCUCUGGGCCUCAGUGUUGUCCUCUGUAGAGUGGGGAUGACAGUAGGACCCACCUCAGGGGGCUUGUGGGAAUUGAGGUGAUAUGUGUAAGGCACACAGAGCACAGCAGGUAAUAACUGUCGCCGUUAUUCUGAGCAGGAUUAGUGAUAAUAUUGUUAUAAAAGCCAACAACCACGAUCCAGCCUUCACUCUCCUCUCUGAUCCCUGACACAUGCCCUCGAGGUUUCAGCCAUGCCCACGACUGCCUGCUCCUCAAAGGCUCCAUGCUGCCUCGUGCCUCGGUGCCUUUGUACAUGCUGCUCCUUCCCCUGGGGUGCUGAGACUAGCGAGUCUCUUUUCUUCAAGACCCCACUUAAGUGCAGUGAAAAACUCAGGGUGGUUAUCUGAAUAUUUCCCGUCUUCGUCCUGUCCUGUCCCGGCUGUCAUACGCACGAGCAUAUUCUCCAUUCAACUCUGGGGUCCCCUUGAGUUAGCCAGAUGCCCUCACUCAUUCAUCUAGCCGAGAAGCUACUGUGCACGGGGUGCUUGGACGGCUUUGGUCUCCGGCUGCGAACAGCAUGUCUGUCGGGGCCCAUAGUCCACUGGGAAGGCAGACACGUGCGUGGGCAGCCACAGGCUUUGCAGGCAGGGUUUGAUGGGGCCGGAGGUGCACAGAGUUUCAGGGAAGCUGUCCAGAUGGGCAUCCGAAUGGAGGUGUGAGAGGUCAGCCUGAUGUGGGUGCAGAGGAAUCCGGGCCUCUGGGUGAGGGAUCCUGGGAGGGGCGCGGGGCUCUCCUGUGGGCCCCAGUGGGGAGGGGACUGUGAGGGCAGGUGUGGUCUGAGACCCGGGCAGAUGUCAGGGUGCAGGGGGCUGCUCUAGCUCCCUGCCACUUGUCCCCAACCGGGCAGGCGGCGUGCGGCCACCGUGGUUCGCAGAUGCAGACGCUGAGGUCCCUCCUGGGAGGGGAUCCCUGUCACUCACCACCCAGGGUUGGGGGAAAGCAGCUCUGGGCAUCAUAUUUAUGUCUCGGGAAACCGGGAGGCUGGUUUCACUGCAGAAACAGAUAAGAUAAAACAAACACAACACUUAUUUUAGGGCAUGGAGGGAGCCUGCCAUUCCAUGCCCCCAGGAAGCCAAGAACAUAGCGACUGGAUGGUGUACCUUUCGACCGUCUCAGACGGGCGAGGGGGAGGCGGCUUCCAUGGGGGCCACCUGGCUGCGUCCUGGUG